GUACUCGCUUCAGCAGCACGUACACUAAAAAACUGGAACAAUACAGAGAUUAGCAUGGCCCCUGUGCAAGGAUGACACGCAAAUUUGUGAAGCGUUCCAUAAAAAA